rnacentral:rRNA from 1 species
GGGUCAGUAGGUUGGUCGUGCCACCGGUACGUACUGGUCUCACUGAUUCCUCCUUCCUGAAGAACCGUAAUGCCAUUAAUUUGGUGUUGCGGGGAAACAGGACUGUUACCUUGAAAAAAUUAGAGUGUUUAGAGCAAGCUAACGCUUGAAUACAUUAGCAUGGAAUAAUGAAAUAGGACGAUCGAUCCUAUUUUGUUGGUCUCUAGGAUUGACGUA